UUUGAUGAACUUACAGCAGAGCUGGAAACUAUAUCUUCAAAAAUGUCUAUAUUUGGCUAAAAAGAAUCAAGUUAUUCAACAGGAGUUAUUAUCUAUGAAAGAAGUACAACAGAAAUGUAAAAAACUUGAGGAGGUUAACAAAAUUUUGGAACAAGAAGUAGUGAAUCUUAAGACACAUGAAAAAAAUAUGGUAGAAUUUGGUGACGUAGAAGAAUGUAAAUUGCAGUUGGAAGAAAGAGCAGGACAGGAAAUAGAAAAAUUAGAAGAAAUCAAUUUACAGAAACAAGCAGAAUAUGAAAAACACAGCAGUUAAAAGAGAAUAAUAUGGCUUUGAUGAAUAAAAGAGAACUCUGACUGAAAGACGUGGAAUGUCAAUUCUCCAAAAUGAAAACCGCUUAUGAAGAGCUUACUACGGAAUUAGAAGAAUAUAAGGAAGUCUUUGCAAUAACAUUAAAAGCUAACAAAUCCAUGUCAAAAAAUUUAAAGAAAAUCAAAUGAGAUAAUAGCAAUGGUCAGCAGCAAGCUCCAUAUAGAGAAAGAGCAAAUGAAAUCUGUUCCCACCACUCUGCCUAUGAGGCCAGACCCAGAGCCACCCUGGGUUGGAAAUCUUAAUAGUAUAGGUCACAACAGAAAAUAUAUUCCAAAACACCCAUAAGGAUCCCUACUUCAAGCCCAUAGACUUCGAAUAACAGCAUGAACUGCUUGACUG
rnacentral:lncRNA from 1 species